UACAGAGGUCCCAAGCGUUGUUCGGAUUCACUGGGCGUAAAGGGUGCGUAGGUGGUUGUGCAAGUCUGAUGUGAAAUCUCCGGGCUUAACCCGGAAAUGGCAUUGGAAACUGCGCAGCUAGAGGUUUGGAGGGGGGACUGGAAUUCUCGGUGUAGCAGUGAAAUGCGUAGAUAUCGAGAGGAACACCAGUGGCGAAGGCGAGUCCCUGGACAACACCUGACACUGAGGCACGAAAGCUAGGGGAGCAAACAGG
rnacentral:rRNA from 1 species